rnacentral:rRNA from 1 species
UACGUAGGGUGCAAGCGUUGUCCGGAAUUAUUGGGCGUAAAGAGCUCGUAGGCGGUCUGUUGCGUCGGCUGUGAAAACCCGGGGCUCAACUCCGGGCCUGCAGCCGAUACGGGCAGACUAGAGUUCGGCAGGGGAGACUGGAAUUCCUGGUGUAGCGGUGAAAUGCGCAGAUAUCAGGAGGAACACCGGUGGCGAAGGCGGUUCUCUGGGCAUUACCUGACGCUGAGGAGCGAAAGUGUGGGGAGCGAACAGG